rnacentral:rRNA from 1 species
CUACGGGCUGCAGCAGUGGGGAAUAUUGGGCAAUGGGCGCAAGCCUGACCCAGCAACGCCGCGUGAGGGAAGAAGGUUUUCGGAUUGUAAACCUCUGUCCUUGGGGACGAAGAAGUGACGGUACCCAAGGAGGAAGCUCCGGCUAACUACGUGCCAGCAGCCGCGGUAAUACGUAGGGAGCAAGCGUUGUCCGGAAUUACUGGGCGUAAAGGGUGCGUAGGCGGCAUAUUAAGUCAGGUGUGAAAUACUCGGGCUCAACCCGGGGGCUGCAUUUGAAACUGAUAUGCUUGAGUGUGAGAGAGGAAAGUGGAAUUCCUAGUGUAGCGGUGGAAUGCGUAGAUAUUAGGAGGAACACCAGUGGCGAAGGCGACUUUCUGGCUCAUAACUGACGCUGAGGCACGAAAGCGUGGGGAGCAAACAGGAUUAGAUACCCUUGUAGUC